rnacentral:rRNA from 1 species
AUGGCCACCCUCAUCCCUCGUGCUCCACCACCAAAUCCCCACCGUCACUUCCUUCUCCACCGACCACCGACCCUAUCCCCCCAGCUCCGCCUACGCCUCCCUGUUCGCCGCCUCCGCCUUGCUUCCCCGGUCGCGGCCAUUGCCACGGUGACGGCCGCCGUGCCCCCUGACGACAUCUCGCAGCUCAAUAACCGUCUCCGCGCGCUCGUCCGCCGCCGCGGUGUCUCUUCCGCUGCCACAUCUCCCAUGGACCCCGCCCAGGCGGACGCCUACCUCCACAUGAUCCGCGAGCAGCAGCGCCUCGGCCUCCGCCAGCUCCGCCGGCACGCGGCCGAACCGGAAUACGAGAGAGACGUCGGAAGCAACGCGGAGGACGAGGAGGAGGGCGCCGGAAGGAGGAAGGGGUUGGCGGCCAGGAGCUCUUUGGGGCACCGUGUGGACCCUCGUGAGCUGGAGCCCGGCGAGUACGUCGUUCACAAGAAAGUCGGCGUCGGCAAGUUCGUCUGUAUAAGCGGAGAGGACGGAGAGGACUACGUGUUCAUUCAGUAUGCGGACGCCAUGGCGAAGCUUGCAGUCGACCAGGCAGCACGCAUGCUCUACCGAUACAACCUUCCUCAUGAGAAAAAGAGGCCAAGGAAUCUAAGCAAGCUGAAUGAUCCUUCUACAUGGGAGAAGAGGAGGCUGAAAGGAAAGCUUGCUGUUCAGAAGAUGGUGGUCAACUUGAUGGAGUUAUAUUUACAAAGGAUGAGGCAGAGAAGGCCGCCAUACCGAAAGCCUGAGGCGAUGGAUCAGUUUGCUUCUGAAUUUCCUUACGAGCCUACCCCAGACCAAAACCAGGCUUUCAUAGAUAUUGAGAAUGAUCUAACUGAAAGGGAAACACCAAUGGACAGAUUGAUCUGUGGAGAUGUCGGGUUUGGUAAAACGGAAGUUGCAAUGCGUGCUAUAUUCAUCGUUGUAUCUACAGGAUAUCAAGCUAUGGUUCUCGCACCAACUGUAAUACUAGCCAAUCAACACUAUGAUGUAAUGUCUGAGCGUUUCUCCAACUACCCUGACAUAAAGGUCGCCAUAUUCAGCGGUGCUCAGAGCAAGGAUGAAAAGGAUGAGCUAAUAACAAAAAUUACGAAUGGGCAUUUGCAAAUAAUUGUUGGAACUCAUGCUCUUCUUACAGAACGGAUGGCCUAUAACAAUCUUGGUCUCCUAGUGGUGGAUGAGGAACAGAAGUUCGGUGUACAACAAAAGGAGAAGAUUGCAUCAUUCAAAGCUUCUAUUGAUGUUCUUACCCUGUCCGCAACACCCAUUCCACGAACUCUGUAUCUUGCUUUAACCGGUUUCCGUGAUGCAAGUUUAAUGUCUACACCACCUCCGGAAAGAGUCGCUGUCAAGACCUAUGUGUCAGCAUUUAGUAGAGAAAGUGCUCUAUCAGCUAUCAAAUUGGAGUUGAAGCGUGGCGGUCAAGUUUUCUAUGUUGUUCCUCGAAUAAAAGCCAUAGACGAUGUAUUGCAAUUUCUCAAGGACUCUCUUCCAGAUGUACCAAUGGCUAUUGCUCAUGGAAAGAAAGUGUCAAAGAAUAUACAACUUGCUAUGGAAAAGUUUUCUUGUGGGGAAAUAAAGAUUCUUGUAUGCACACAUAUCAUUGAAAGUGGAAUAGAUAUUCCAAAUGCCAACACAAUGAUUGUCCAGUAUGCAGAACUAUUUGGGCUCGCGCAGCUGUAUCAGUUGCGAGGAAGAGUAGGAAGAUCAGGCAGAGAGGGUUUCACAUACCUCUUCUACACUGACAAGUCUUUGCUUUCCAGAAUUGCCAUGGAUAGACUUGGAGCUAUUGAAGAGCAUUCUGAUCUCGGUCAAGGUUUCCAUGUCGCAGAGAAGGAUAUGGGUAUUAGGGGAUUUGGAAGCAUGUUUGGUGAGCAACAAUCUGGAGACGUUGCAAAUGUUGGCAUCGAUCUGUUCUUUGAUAUGCUUUUUGAUAGCUUGUCCAAGGUUGAUCACUUUCGUCUUAAACCCAUUCCUUAUAAAGAUGUUCAGCUGGACAUUAACAUUUCUCCGCAUCUCUCUUCUGAAUACAUAAGUUAUCUUGAAAAUCCUGUUGAAUUGCUCAAUGAAGCAGCGAAAGCUGCAGAACAAGAUAUAUGGAACUUAAUGCAAUUCACAGAAGAUCUUCGUCAACAGUAUGGGAAGGAGCCCCGUGAUAUGGAGUUGCUAUUAAAAAAGCUCUAUGUAAGGCGGAUGGCAGCAGAUCUUGGUAUCAGCCGGAUAUAUCCAUCUGGCAAAAUGAUCAUCAUGAAAACAAACAUGAACAGGAAAGUUUUUAGGCUCAUGGAAGAAACCAUGGCUUCUGAGACGCAUCGCAAUUCUUUGUCAUUCACUGGAAAGGAAAUUAAGGCUGAACUUCUGGUCAAUCUGCCAGACACACUACUUCUGAACUGGCUUUUUCAUUGCUUAGCGGAUUGCUAUGCAAUAAUGCCAGCCCUUGUGAGAUACUAG